rnacentral:rRNA from 1 species
CACGCCGUAAACGGUGGGUACUAGGUGUGGGUUCCUUUUCACGGGAUCCGUGCCGUAGCUAACGCAUUAAGUACCCCGCCUGGGGAGUACGGCCGCAAGGCUAAAACUCAAAGGAAUUGACGGGGGCCCGCACAAGCGGCGGAGCAUGUGGAUUAAUUCGAUGCAACGCGAAGAACCUUACCUGGGUUUGACAUACACCAGACGCCGGCAGAGAUGUCGGUUCCCUUGUGGUUGGUGUACAGGUGG